rnacentral:rRNA from 1 species
CCUACGGGAGGCAGCAGUGAGGAAUAUUGGUCAAUGGACGAGAGUCUGAACCAGCCAAGUAGCGUGAAGGAUGACUGCCCUAUGGGUUGUAAACUUCUUUUAUAUGGGAAUAAAACGUUCCACGUGUGGGUUUUUGUAUGUACCAUAUGAAUAAGGAUCGGCUAACUCCGUGCCAGCAGCCGCGGUAAUACGGAGGAUCCGAGCGUUAUCCGGAUUUAUUGGGUUUAAAGGGAGCGUAGGUGGAUUGUUAAGUCAGUUGUGAAAGUUUGCGGCUCAACCGUAAAAUUGCCGUUGAAACUGGCAGUCUUGAGUACAGUAGAGGUGGGCGGAAUUCGUGGUGUAGCGGUGAAAUGCUUAGAUAUCACGAAGAACUCCGAUUGCGAAGGCAGCUCACUGGACUGCAACUGACACUGAGGCUCGAAAGUGUGGGUAUCAAACAGGAUUAGAUACCCGGGUAGUC